rnacentral:rRNA from 1 species
AUACGUAGGGUGCGAGCGUUGUCCGGAAUUACUGGGCGUAAAGAGCUCGUAGGUGGUUUGUCGCGUCGUCUGUGAAAUUCCGGGGCUUAACUCCGGGCGUGCAGGCGAUACGGGCAUAACUUGAGUACUGUAGGGGAGACUGGAAUUCCUGGUGUAGCGGUGAAAUGCGCAGAUAUCAGGAGGAACACCGGUGGCGAAGGCGUGUCUCUGGGCAGUAACUGACGCUGAGGAAGGAAAGCAUGGGUGGCGAACAGAAUGAGAUACCCUGGUAGUCCAUGCCGUAAACGGUGGGCGCUAGGUGUAGGGGUCUUCCACGACUUCUGUGCCGUAGCUAACGCAUUAAGCGCCCCGCCUGGGGAGUACGGCCGCAAGGCUAAAACUCAAAUGAAUUGACGGGG